UCUCUUCCAGACGAUGCCUUUAGUUUUGUAGGAGUUUGGUCCCAGUUCGUUGUAGCCCAGGGAAGAGGCGGCCGCGGGGAAAGAAGGGUCUUGGAAGAGCUUCCCAGCCUCCAGGCACUCGUUCCUCAGCGCCUGAAAGUCCUGAUUUAAAUAUUUCACGGCCUUUGCAUUGGAGCCUAAGCCUCUGGCGACCUCCCUUUCCUUUGCUAAUUUAGCAGCGAUCCCAGACAUGGUCGCCUCCUGUUGUUGUUGUUGGUGGUGGUGCUGCUCCUGGUGCCUCUAGAGUUUGACAUCAGAGUGCAAAUCUUCCUCCUGCUCGGUAUGAAACUUAAGGCAAAGCAACGGCGGCAGCAUCCGGAGCCAAGCGGGCUGAUGAUGAUUCAUUGCAAAGAGAGGAAAAAUAUCAUCACUACGCUCGGGGUGUGGCUAGGUCGGGCUUCGGGCUUCAGGCUGUGUAAAAGGGCCUGUGUCGCCCACCAGUUCUAACUACUGCUCUGUUAAGGGCCAGGCGAGACGCCACAGACGGGAUCUCCCGCGUUCUUUAAUUAUUAUGAAGAUAAGGGGAAGAAUAUAAUCUCUUCUUAUUGAUUCCAUUUUUAAAGGUGAUCCAUCAUCUCCCAAUGACCUGAAAGUUUAACAUAAGGAGGGAUGUAUUGAGUCUCCAGGAGGCAGUGUGGGACCCAUUUUGCCUCAAAUCUACCGCUGACGAGAGAAAGGCGUGAUCAGAGAUUAGAACUGGACCAAUGUGUGCAUCAACAACAGCAGGG